AUGUCCCAGUGUGAUAACUGGUUUGACUACUGGGGACAAGGAACUAUGGUCACCGUCACCUCAGUUAUCGCUCUCUGCCUCCAAAGCAGAAGGGAUUUUCUAUUGCAAAGCCAAGAUCCCGUCGUGCUGGGCUGCCUGGCUAAGGAUUUCCUUCCGGACUCAAUCACUUUCUCCUGGAGAGACAAAACCAGCAACCUCACCAAUGCCAUGAAGAACUACCCCUCCACCCUGAACACAGUUGGGACCUACUCCACCGUCACUCAGUUAUCGCUCUCUGCCUCCAAAGCAGAAGGGAUUUUCUAUUGCAAAGCCAAACACCCAAAUGGGGAGAAGGAAACUACACUCCCAGCAUUUCCUCCCUGCUCCCCCGAGAAAAGCAUCAUGAACAUAUACCCCCCGGCCAGAGACCAAUUCCUGGAGCCCUAUAAAAAUUCCUCCAUCACCUGCAUCGUGAAAAAUGUCUGCGGCUCGACUCUGACCUUCAAGUGGCUGAAGGACGGGGUGUUGGUCAAAACUGAUGAAGUCACUGACUCCAAAACCUUCCACAGCCAUCUGACCGUCACUGAGAAAGAAUGGGACGGUGGUCACAAGUACAGCUGCAAGGUGGAGGGCAAGAAUUUCAGUGACUCCAGGAACACGAGCAAGGUUUUUGAAUGCGGCGUAGAAAUUGACUGUCCCCAGGGCAUCAUCGUCACGCUUAUCCCACCGACCUUUGCUGAUAUUUACAUCCGCAAAUCAGCCACACUGACCUGCAGGGUUGGUAAUAUGCAAAGCACAGAAGGGCUCAACGUGACUUGGAGCAAAAAGGAUGGCAAGCCACUGAAGACCACCCUGGGCGACCGGAAGGUGCAGGGCAAUGGCCGUUUCACUGUGGAUGCCACCACCUCCGUGUGCGCGGACGAGUGGGAGCGAGGAGAUGAAUACACCUGUAUCGUGUCUCACCCUGACCUCAUCUUCCCCAUCAAAAACACUUUUCGGAAACAGCCUGUAACCGACAGCCGUGCACCAGCUGUCUACGUCUUCCCUCCUCCCGCCGAGCAGCUGGCCCUCCGUGAAGCUGCCACCGUCACCUGCCUGGUGAAGGGUUACAACCCACCAGAUCUCUUCAUCAAAUGGUUGAGCAAUGGCGAGGAAGUGAUUUCCUCCAAGUACAUCAACACUGUUUCCAUCCCAGAGUUGGGCCAAUCGAAGUUGUACUUCUCCUACAGCUCUUUGAGCAUCAGCGAGCAAGAAUGGAAUGCUGGUAACACCUACACGUGCUUAGUCGGACAUGAGAAGCUGCCCCUGCAAGUGACGCAGAGGACCGUGGACAAGUCCACCGAUCAUUUAGAUGGGUUCGUGGAUGCCGAAGAGGAAGAUUUCAACAACAUCUGGACAACGGCCUCCACUUUCAUCAUCCUCUUUCUCCUAAGUCUCUUCUACAGCACCACAGUGACGCUGAUCAAGGUCAAAUAAACCCAACGGUCAAGGUUGCUCCUACCAAAGGAGCCCUAAGAAAGCUGACUUCGCUCCACUCCAUCACCUGCGUACUUGCUGUGUUCACCUGCCGGUGGAAAGUUCUCAUAUCAUUUGAAUGUAACUGGACUUUCUGUCUAUCGUUUCUGUGCUUUCAUCUCCACUUUGAAUGCAUGUUUGGCCAGGAUGGGGUGGUUUUUUUUUUGUCCCGGUAAUCUCUGCUUUAUUCAAAGUGUAAUCUCUACUGACAUAAGAAGUUGCACGGAAAAUGGAUCUAUGUAAUCAAAUUGCACAACUUGUCUUUUCCCCAGAUGUUUGUA